UCAUAUGCGGACUUAUAGUGAGAAUGACAGCUAUCCUAAUAUAAAAUUGCACUGGACUAUUAAUUAGCUGUUGUUUGUUUUGUUUUGUUUUCCCCCCUAUCUUUGAGAUAGUCUCACUCUGUAGCCAGGAACUUGCUAUGUGGGCCAGGCUGGCCCUGAACUUGUGAUUGCCUGGGCUCUUUCCCCAUUGCUGAGCUUACAUAUAUCGCACCUCCUGUUUGGCUAAUUCCGUUGUUUGUUUGUUUUGUUGUUGUUUUUAAGUGUACUAUAGAAUUUCACUUUAAUUUAAAAAAUCAAAAUACGUACAUCAAAAUAUUAGAAGUCUCCUCUGCAUGUCCUGGAUGGUCAUGUCUGCAGCAGCUUAUCUUCUGUCCAAGGAGAUUGGAAAAUACGGUCAGGAAACAAAUUGAGUGCAGAAGUUGAAAGCUACAUGAAUGUGAGAUCUGCUGGUUUUAUGCUUGCUUGCUAUUUUAUUUUAUUUUAUUUUAUUUUAUUUUAUUUUAUUUUUUUGAGACAGGGUUUCUCUGUGUAGCAGCCCUGGCUGUCCUGGAACCAGCUUUGUAGACCAGGCUGCCUCUAAUUCAGAGAUCCUUCUAUUUAUGCCUCCUGAGUGUUGAGCUCAAAGGUGUGCAUCACCCCUGCCUGGCAAAAUUUUCACACAGACUUCUCACAGCCUAAAAUUGAAAUACUAAGGGUUUUGUUGUUGUUGUUGUUGUUUGUUUGUUUGUUUGUUUGUUUCUGUUCUUUGUUUUUGUCUUCAAAGUCAAAAUGCCACAGUAAACCAUAUAUUAGAAGCACCUAAGCCCUCCUCCUUGUCCUGUUUGACAGCUAAAGUUUCUCUAGAGACAGGUGCUGACUUGGGGAUUUAGCCCAGGGUCUUGCAUGUGGCUGAAGAAACACACCCUGAGCUACAUCUCCUGCCCCUCACCCCUCUAUUUGACAUAUUCUCCCCUCUCUCUGUGAACCCCCUAUUCUCCCUUUCUCUAUCUCACUUGCUCAUUUUUGCAUAGUGUUUACUCCAUUAAAUUUUUAUUUUAAAUAUUUAUUCACUGUUACACAUUCAGCCACUCCAGAAGAGGGCGCCAGAUCUCAUUACAGAUGGUUGUGAGCCACCAUGUAGUUGCAGGGAUCUGAAUUCAGGACCUUCAGAAGAGCAAUCAGUGCUUUUAACCACUGAGCCAUCUCUCCAGCCCCUAUUAAUUUUUUUUUUACUUUUUUUUUUUAAUUUGGGGAGAGGGGAGCAUGCCAUCUGGCCAUCUUGCUAGCCCCUGUUAAAUAGGUUCUUAGAAAUAACUUUGAGGUGGGGGGAUUAUUUAAAUACAGAAUUUAAUAUUAUCUUUAGUCAAACAUUUUAUUUAUUUGGACCUGUAAAUGCAGAAGAAUUAAUAAAAUGUUAUUAAUUCUUAGCUGUCAUGACAGUGCUGGGAAUUGAACUCAGGUCCCCUGGAAGAGCAGCCAGUGUUCCUAACUGCUGAGCCAUCUCUCCAGCUCAUAAUUUUUUGUGGGGACAGGGUUUCUCUGUGUAGCUCUGGCUGUUUUGGAACUUGCUUCGGGCUCAUAGAGGUCCACCUGCCUCUGCCUCCUAAGUGCUGAGAUUAAAGGCGUGCGCCACCAUCACCAGGCCUGUAAUUUUAUUUUUUAAGUCAACAAGAACAACUCGUUUAUGAGAAUAUGGCCUGAUAUAAUAUAUUUUUGGGGAAAUAAAUAUAGCUUUUUAAAAAUUGAAAUCAGAAAAUGCUAUAUUUUUAACAAGUUUCAGUAGCUGGGUAAGUUUCAAGUCUAAAGGUUUAAAAUGAUAAACCUGAAAUAAGGGUUUGUUUGUUUGUUUUUCAACAAAACUGAAAAAAUAUUACAACUCAGGUAAUUAUGAAUUCCCUGAGAGAUGGAGGCAGAAGAACCAGGUUUGGGAUCAUUCUUGACUACACAGAAAGUUACAGGCUAGCUUGGGCCAUAGGAGACCGAGUUUCGAUCAAAUAAACAGGUUGCAUUAUUUUCUCAAUGGCUUUGUAUCACAGGAAAAUGUGAUUUUUUUUUUCUUGAUAGAAUUUUCAUUUAAAAGAACUGAAACCGGGCUGGUGGGAUGGCUUAAUGGGUAAGGCACUUUUCAUUACGACUUGUCAUAAGGUGCGUCUUGGGGACCCACAUGAUAGAACAGACUCCCACAAGUUGUGUACUCUGAUCUCCAUACAUGUGCCAUGACAAAUGCAAGCUUCCCCACCAAAAUACAUACAUAUAAUGCAAAAUACACACACAUAAUAUGUGUAUGUAUUAAACACUUAAAAAUAGAACCAACUCUCACAAUUGCCUAGGUCUGGUUCCCAGAGGCUUAUAACCACCAGGAAUUCCACUUCCAGUGGAUCUGGUGCCCUCUUCUGGUCUCCAGGGAUACUGCACACAUGUAAUGCACAGACAUACAUGCAGGAGAAACACACAUAAAAAUUAAAGCUGAAAAAAAAAUCUUCUUUAAGAUUGAAACGAACCAGGCAUGAUGAUGGCAUAUAUACCUGUAAUUAGAGCACUGAGGAGGUUGAAGCAGGAGGACUGCCACAAGUUCGAAGCCAGCCUCCGCCCUGCAGUGAGUUCCAGGCCAGUGCUAGAAACCUGUGUACCUCACAUACUCUGGUUGAGGCUGCAGAACAUUCUAGCUUGCUUUUCCUGUGGUCUUGAUUUGGUGGGAGCAGAGUUUCUCAAGAGGAAUUCCAUCUUUGCCAACAGAAAUUUAAGAUGUCGAUUCUUUAAAAUGCAGCUUAUACAGAAAGGGGGGAGUGUGUGCUGUGGACUGGAGAUGGUUUAUACAGUCAUGUGCAGUAGUCAUGUUCUCUUCAUUGUUUAAAAACCCAAACGCCACAGUGCCCUUUAGACACAAGCAGAGGCUAUGGAGAGUCACUGGUGGGAGCUGGUGUGCUGUGGCAGCCCCUCCCUGAACACAAUCUCUCCAAGAGCCAUCACCGACGAGACACUGCACUGAGAUGGCUGGCUCAGAAUUGUCCUGGCCUUUGUCUCCAGCAUUUUAGCUGUGAUUUUGCUCAUCUUAUCAUUUAUGAUGGUAUUAUUAGAGCAGACAUUUUCAAAGGAUCCAGAGCUGAGUGCUUU
rnacentral:lncRNA from 1 species